rnacentral:rRNA from 1 species
GSMMUGUUCUAGCUGUUUCAUGWGGCUGUAAACGACGGCCWGUGRAUCCGKAMUCRKGGUCGAGSUGUUUCCAGUGCGUGCUUAAAGUUUGAUCCUGGCUCWKAACRAAYGCUGGCGGCGUGCUUAACACAUGCAAGUCGAACGUGAUUGAGAGCUUGCUCUCAUGAAAGUGGCGCACGGGUGAGUAACACGUGGAUAAUCUGCCUGGCGAUUCGGGAUAACACUUCGAAAGGGGUGCUAAUACCGGAUAAGCCCACGGUCUCUUCGGAGAGCGCGGGAAAAGGGGGCCUCUGUAUAUGCUCCUGUCGCUAGAUGAGUCCGCGGCCCAUUAGCUAGUUGGUAGGGUAAUGGCCUACCAAGGCUACGAUGGGUAGCUGGUCUGAGAGGAUGAUCAGCCACMCUGGAACUGAGACACGGUCCARACUCCUACGGGAGGCAGCAGUGGGGAAUUUUGCGCAAUGGGCGAAAGCCUGACGCAGCAACGCCGCGUGAGUGAUGAAGGCCUUCGGGUCGUAAAGCUCUGUCAGAGGGGAAGAACCGCCGGGUGGCUAAUACCUGCCUGGUCUGACGGUACCCUCAAAGGAAGCACCGGCUAACUCCGUGCCAGCAGCCGCGGUAAUAC